rnacentral:rRNA from 1 species
UACAGAGGUCUCAAGGGUUGUUCGGAUUCAUUGGGCGUAAAGGGUGUGUAGGUGGCGCGCUAAGUCGGGUGUGAAAUUUCGGAGCUUAACUCCGAAACUGCAUUCGAUACUGGCGUGCUUGAGGACUGGAGAGGAGACUGGAAUUCAUGGUGUAGCAGUGAAAUGCGUAGAGAUCAUGAGGAAGACCAGUGGCGAAGGCGGGUCUCUGGACAGUUCCUGACACUGAGACACGAAGGCCAGGGGAGCAAACGGG